CAAAACACAGCAUUUUGCAAGAAUUUGGUAGAGACCCGGAUGUUGCACAAAUGUUUACCUCUUUUCAUGUUACCAUCUUUGUGGGAAUUCACUGGACCAAGCCCUGGUUUACUCACAAGUGUUCAGUAUUUAAGCCACAGUACCACAUGUGGUGGGGACAGACUGUAAUAUUAUAUAGCUGGACAAGAACAACUGCACAAGGAUGAAGGUAUUGCAGGCAAUGAUACUGAUGCUAUUCGUUGCAUCAGUCUUAUCAAGACCAUUUUUGUUGCGCAGCAAUGGCAGCCGUCAAAGUCCUUACAGAGGGUUUGAUUCAUCCAACUCUGUUCAAUCAAGCUCCAGUUCAGAUGAAAGUGAUUCAUCCAGGGAUGAGAGUUCUGAAUCAAAUGAGUCUACAUCCAGUCAAUCUGAAUCUUCAGAGGAAAUUAUCAUAAGUGUAAGCACCUUUGCUCCACCAACCAUAACAAAUCAACCUGUGACUCAUGAGCCAACAAACCAACCAAUCAUCCCAACAGAAAUCAUCACAAAGUGUUUUACUGUAGAUGUGACCAGUACGUCUGAAAAAAGAGGAGAUAACGAAAUGUAACUUUUUAAUGGUCUUUUUAUGCACCUUUUCAAAAUCUCAUGAAUGUGUAA